CCGCCUUCAUUGCGAAAUCUGGACAUCAUACAUUGCAAGAAUCUAGAAUUCCCAAUGCAAAAACAACAACAUCACUCGCUAGAGAACUUAUACAUGUACAACAGCUGUGAUUCGCUUACAUCCUUCGCAUUGCCAGCGUUCCCAAAUCUCAAGCAUCUGACAAUCGCAAGACGUGAAAAUUUGACAUCUCUGGAGCUGUCACAGUCACAGUCCCUCCGAGAAUUACGGAUUAAAGAAUGCCCUAAGCUGGAGAACAUAACAAGGCUGCCUGCCUCUUUAAGUGCACUCAGAAUCUAUGAAUGUCCGUUGUUGGGUGAAGGCAUAGAGAGGAAGGACCCCCACAUUUGGCCAUCCAUUUCCCGCAUCCCUCAAAUUUAUGUUGACGGCACAGACAUCCUCAAUGACUCAACAUCUUAAAACAGCCUAAAAAGAAAAAGAAGAGGUUGAAAGAGAAGAAGGAGGUGCUUGAUGAGAAUGAGUGGUGGGACAAGAUAGGGAAGAUGAAGAUGCUUGGGCAAAGAAAUCCAUGCUUAUAAUAAAGGGAAAACUCUAGUUGUAAGCAAAGUUCCUUUGCCUGAUUACCGUGCAGAUCUUGAGGAGCGUCAUGGAUCAACACAGAAGGAGAUUAGAAUGUCUACAGACAUUGAACGAAGAGUAGGAAAUCUUUUGAAUAACUCAAUCAGUGGGGAAGCGUCUGCUAGUUUUCCUUCUGUAUCCACUGACUUGGGACAGAAACAAUCAUUAACUGCUAUGAAAUCUGUCUCUUCACAACAGAGUGAUUCUUCAAAGGAUAAACUUAAUGUUGCUCUAAAGGAAAGGCAGGAACAACACAGCUUCCACAAUUCAUUCUGGAAGAGGAAAUAGGAUAAUAGAGUAUAAAGAUAUU